GUGUCAGCCGCCGCGGUAAAACGUAGGACGCGAGCGUUAUCCGGAUUUACUGGGCGUAGAGCGCAUGCAGGCGGCCUUGUAAGUCGGAUGUGAAAUCUCCCGGCUCAACUGGGAGGCGUCAUUCGAUACUGCAAGGCUUGAGGGCAGGAGAGGGGAGUGGAAUUCCCGGUGUAGUGGUGAAAUGCGUAGAUAUCGGGAGGAACACCAGUGGCGAAGGCGGCUCCCUGGCCUGUACCUGACGCUAAGAUGCGAAAGCGUGGGGAGCGAACGGGAUUAGAUACCCCCGUAGUCCAUGCUGUAAACGAUGUGCACUAGGCGUAGGAGAGGUCACACUCUGCUGUGCCGAAGCUAACGCGCUAAGUGCACCGCCUGGGGACUACGGCCGCAAGGCUAAAACUUAAAUGAAUUGGCGGGG
rnacentral:rRNA from 1 species